CACUAGACCGAAAAACAAUGAAGAAGUUAACUAUGAUGAGGAUCAGACAUUGAUCUAACUUUACUUUUCAACAGAUUCUCUCUUGCUGGCUGUACCAAUUGCAAAAUUCCCUUUGCAAUUGGUAUGGCCAAUUGGCUUUGACAGGAUGGGCAAACAUAAUUGAAACUAAUAUACUAUAUAGUGGUACUAUUAAGGAAUCAUCUACUACCAGCUGUAACCAUUCUGAUGGAUUGGCUGACAAAAGUUACAUUUUAAAACGCACAUCACCAUUUUUCUCUUUUGUGGUGCAGGGAAUAACACCUCCAUAGUUAACAUCUAUAUCUAAGAUAGAUAUCUCCCGCACAGGACUCCAGAAGAAGACUCCUGUUAUUUAUUCUUGUUCGUACUGCUACCUUGUGAGGUAACUAACCUAGGCCACCUUGCCAACCUCGCUCACACUACUGAAACGCUACACGCUGCCUGUUACCAAUCCAGCUAGGCCCAAAGGGCCACGCUCAUAAAUACACAGCAGGACAACUAUAUCAUACUGACAAAUCAACAACAGUUGUUGGGAGGAGUACAACAAACCGAGGAAAAUAGAAGUCGGACCAGCGGAGGUGUCUGCCGAGGGGGUUUGCGGUCUGUUUUCGUCUUGUGUGUCGGAGGCCAGUGGAAAGAGCUGCGGGGAAAGUCUGACACUUCCAUGUCGUUAAAAUGGCUGUAAAACCUGGAAGACCGCGACGCUCGUUCUUGGCAAAAGGCUGCCCUAGCUGAUUGCUGACUGGCUGGUCCUGGGGCUGGCGGAGGGUCAAUCUGAUCCUCUUCUUCCAACUCACUGUCAGACUCCAAAUUGACAGAGACAUGAUCCUCAUAUUCUGGAAAGUUCUUCAUCUUUCAAAAUGGAAGACGCUCCUUCCACACUAGCUUCUCCUCUGCAAAAAUUAUUUCCAAGGCCCUAUGAGCAAAGAUUCCUUUUGCCAUACUGAUUGUGGUUAGGGGCCACACAUGCAAAACUUUUUUUGUGUGUGUGUCCCUCUCCCAAUUUCCACCUGACUGGGGGAGAGUGUGGAUAAAUACUUUUUUAUUUUUUUAUUUUUUUUUACAAUAUAUCAAAAUAACGUACACCACAUAUGUAAUAGAAAUGUGUGGGGGUGCACUCAAUGAAAAUGUGUUAUUUUACAUGUUCGUCACAGAAAAUGAGCCAAGGCCAAUUAGUCUCAGGUUGAAAAAUUAUUAAUUGUAUCAUUUUUCUUUUAAUAAACAUUGAAAAUGGGUCCCAUAGAUCCGAACCCCACACAAGGGUUAAAUGAUCACAUUGAUAAGUCAUGUUCAAUGGGAUUUGUGGACUGUUGGGAUAUUUCCUAUUACCUUUUGGUAUGAGUGCUGCUCCUGUUAAGAACUAGAGCUGCCUGUUAAUCUUCGGACACACCGCGACAACGAAUUGCUAAAUGCAGCGGCUGGCCAUCCUAUUGCUUGCUGCUGUCGCAGUGUGUUAUAGCGACCACCUGCUGGCAAACCGUGGAUGUUUUUGGUAAUUUCAAUCAUCAGAAAAUGGCCAAUAUUCUGGUCUGGGGCACUCAACAGCACUCAACCUUCGAUCGUUCAGUUGUGUUUCUUCUCUUAGUGUUAUCAUACACUGAGUAGUGCCAGCAAUUAAAAGUGAGUCAUGGUGAUGUGUUUUGCUCUCUGGCCUUCAGCUGUGAAAACCAGGCCACUAGCGAGGCAUCACCGGGGUGAUCCUGCUUUCCCAGCUCCGUCACUGUGGCAACAAGUUAAACAAGAGGGGGAUAAAUAAUGUCUGGUGCUCCUCUGGAACAGUGCCUGGUUAGAGAACAGUGGAGGCUGGUGUCACUUUUAAAUCUCACCUCAUUGUAAAGGCUGGAACAGAAUGAAUGGAACAGUAUCAGUUUGUUUGAUACCCUUCCUUUCACUCUAUUCCAGACAUUACUAUAGCCCGUCUUUCCUUCACCAGCCCUGUACCAUCUCCUGUCCGCGACCUUGUCCCUGUCCCCUCUUCCUCUACAAUCUUCCCAUGCCCCCACAAUCUGGAGAUGCCUAUCAGUCUGAGGCUAAGCUGUAUUUAUCCUCCCUCCCGUCUCUCUCCAGUCUCUACCCCAUGCUGCCUUGUGGUUUCCCCCGGAGGUCGCACAGGGCUUGGGGCACACAUGGCCUAGUGGUCCCCUGGUGUGCCUGGUGGCGGUCCUGGUGGUCCGGUUGGCGGUGCCCCUUCCUGAGGAGGGCAGAGGCGGGAGGCGGCUCCGCGGCUGAGAUGUGGUUAAUUAGCCUGUGUAAUUAGAGCCCUGUGGGUGUCUGUCUGUCUGUCUGGUGCCUUUGAGGGCAUGUUGUGCCCGCUGGCUGCCAUGACAGGUGGUGGGCACCAGACAGGAACACCCAUCCCGGGACACCCACCCCACCACAGGAUGGUACCAGCCCAGUAUUUCUGGUUCCUUUGGGGGCAUUUUCCCCCUGGCAACCAUGAAGGUGGUGGGCGCUAAGCAGACACACACACACACACACCCUGGGAUGCUCAACACCGAUCUCACCCCAGCAGCGGGGGAUGCCACCCAGUCUGCCACCCUGCAUGGUGGCACUGUGACUUAAAAAAAGAUGUCGGCCUAAGUUCAACUUGAAGUUAGGGUGGUCCACUUCCUUAAAGAUGUCUGCGACACAUGAUACUGGAUGGGGGUACAGUAAGUCAUCCCUGUUGCAUGAAUGUGUGUUUAGCAUUCAAGUUUGAUGUCAUCUCUGUCAUCUCUGAUUUGUCACACACUGAUGGGUUAUCCAGCUUCUAGGUGCAGUCAAUACCUCAUGAAGCAUAUAGUUUUGUGUUGUUCAACACGUCUGUACAUUGGAGCCACCAAUUGUGAAGUAAGACUUGACGAUCUGAUAAUGUACAUACCAAUGGGGAUAAAAGAAAAUAAAUGUAGUUACAUUCAAACACAAGGAAAGCAGAGAAGAAGUAACGAGGGGAAAAAAACAUUGGAAUUUCUUCUCAGAUCUUCAGGGUUUCACAGCAAUUAUUGUGAAGUGUUACCAGAUGCUUUUAUCUUAUCCUUGAGCUUUGCUUUCCUUCAAGAUUUCUCAGAUUAAAAUAAAAUAUAUAUAUAUAUA